GUAGUCAUAUGCUUGUCUCAAAGAUUAAGCCAUGCAUGUCUAAGUAUAAGCAAUUAUACGGCGAAACUGCGAAUGGCUCAUUAUAUAAGUUAUCGUUUAUUUGAUAGCACCUUACUACUUGGAUAACCGUGGUAAUUCUAGAGCUAAUACAUGCUAAAAAUCCCGACUUCGGAAGGGAUGUAUUUAUUAGAUUAAAAACCAAUGCCCUCUGGGCUCUCUGGUGAUUCAUGAUAACUUCUCGAAUCGCAUGGCCUUGCGCCGGCGAUGGUUCAUUCAAAUUUCUUCCCUAUCAACUUUCGAUGUUUGGGUAGUGGCCAAACAUGGUUGCAACGGGUAACGGGGAAUA
rnacentral:rRNA from 1 species